AUUAUUAUUAUUAUUACAUGUAUUAUUUUACUUAUUAUUAUUAAAAGGAUACAUAAGCACAUUUACAUUGAAGAAGAUGAGAAUAAUGAUUUGAUCAGAGAUGGACAGACUUAUCUUAAAUUUGAGCUUGAUGUAAAUAUUCAAAAACAUUGAACCUACUGAUGUCUCUAUUCAUGUAAUUUUAUUGGUAUCUAUUUUUAUUUCUGAAAUUUACCACCCUCGGCUUGUACUGGAGUCAAUGUUUUCCCAGUUUUUUUGGUGGUAAAAUUAGGUGCCUCGGCUUAUAUUCAGGUCGGCUUAUACUCAAAUAUAUAGGCAUUUUUAUUUCUGAAAUUUACCACCCUCGGCUUAUACUGGAGUCAAUGUUUUCCCAGUUUUUUUGUGGUAAAAUUAGGUGCCUCGGCUUAUAUUCGGGUUGGCUUAUGCUCGAGUAUAUACGGUAGUUCCUCCUCUUUUUCUGAUCUGAGACUCUUCCCAUCCUUACCUCUCACUGUGAUAUGACUUGUCCUCCUCUUCUAAGUGAGACUUCUGGUUUAACACAAUGUUUUCUUUUAUUUUCUGCAGGCAAAUCCAAGUCCAAAAAGGGCAGCCUAGACAAGGCAUCGGGUGGCAGCAGCGAGGAGGAGGAAGACGAAGAUGACGAUGAAGGAGAAUAUGAAGUGCAGGACGAUGAUGAAGAGGAGGAAGAAAACUGGAGUGAUUCAGAUGGGGAAGGCGAUGGCGGGGCCAAGCCCAAGGGAGCCAGGAAACGGCUGUCCGCGGCCGAACUGCGACAACUGGCCCAGGGACCCGAGGACGUGGUGGAAGAGCUGAACUUCUCCGACGAGGAGGGCGAUUGACAGCCGGUUGGUCGGGACCCGAGGAGUGGCAGGACCUUGCUCCAUUGGAAUGUGAAAACCUUCUCUAGCGAACUUUUAAUGGGUUUGGGGAGAAACAGUAAAAUUUGCGGUUUGGCCAAGAGACUAAAGCCGCAAUAAAAAUCCACCUCUUUAAGUAACACAGGCCCCGAAUCCCUUACACUGCCCCCUUCUUAUGUAGAAGAAUUAGAUGUAGCUACUACUGCAACGCCAGAAAUACAGCUUAGUGGUGUAACGUUAGUAAAUGUGGACCCUUUCCACUCCCUUGGCAGCCACCUCUCCACAAAAGUCAACAUUGAGGCUGAAAUACAACACCGCCUGAGCUCUGCGAGUGCAGCAUUUUUUUCCGAAUGAAGCAGAGAGUGUUGAUCUGGACAUCCGUAGAGAUACCAAGGUGCUUGUUUACAAAGCCAUUGUCCUCCCAGCCCUGUUAUACACCUGAGAGAUGUGGAAUGUCUAUAGACGUCACACAUUGUCAACAUUGAGAGUGAAAUACAACACCGCCUAAGCUCUGCGAGUACAGCAUUUUUUCCGAAUCAAGCAGAGAGUGUUGAGGAUCUGGACAUCCGUAGAGAUACCAAGGUGCUUGUUUAUAAAGCUAUUAUCCUCCCAAACCUGUUAUACGCCUGAGAUAUGAAAUGUCUAUAGACGUCACACUUUGUCCUCAUUCUCAAGUCAACAUUGACACUGAAAUACAACACCACCUGAGCUCUGCAAGUGCAGCAUUUUUUCCGAAUGAAGCAGAGAGUGUUUGAGGAUCAGGACAUCUGGAGGAGAACAAGGUGCUUGUUUAUAAAGCUAUUCACUUCCCAACCCUUGUUAUACACCUACGAAACGUGGACCAUCUACAGACGUCACACUCAACUCCAGAAAUGAUUCCAUCAGUG
rnacentral:lncRNA from 11 species